UACGUAGGUGGCGAGCGUUAUCCGGAAUUAUUGGGCGUAAAGAGCGCGCAGGUGGUUGAUUAAGUCUGAUGUGAAAGCCCACGGCCUAACCGUGGAGGGUCAUUGGAAACUGGUCGACUUGAGUGCAGAAGAGGGAAGUGGAAUUCCAUGUGUAGCGGUGAAAUGCGUAGAGAUAUGGAGGAACACCAGUGGCGAAGGCGGCUUCCUGGUCUGUAACUGACACUGAGGCGCGAAAGCGUGGGGAGCAAACAGG
rnacentral:rRNA from 1 species